UACGUAGGGUCCAAGCGUUUAUCCGGAAUCACUGGGCGUAAAGCGUGCGUAGGCGGGAGUUUUAGUGCAAUGCGAAAUCUUGUGGCUCAACCAUAUAGACUGUAUUGCAUACUGGACACCUAGAGGACGGCAGAGGCAAGUGGAAUUACUGGUGUAGCAGUGAAAUGCGUAGAUAUCAGUAGGAACACCAAUGGCGAAGGCAGCUUGCUGGGCCGACCCUGACGCUAAGGCACGAAAGCGUGGGGAGCAAACAGG
rnacentral:rRNA from 1 species